GGGAAGGUGGCUCAGUGAUAGAGCACUUGCCUUGCAUGCAUGAGGCCCUAGGUUUGAUUCCUCAGUACUA
rnacentral:tRNA from 1 species